rnacentral:antisense_RNA from 1 species
GUCGACGAUCGCGUAGAGGCCGAGUUUCGU